rnacentral:rRNA from 1 species
UGCUGCAUGGCCGUCGUCAGCUCGUGCCGUGAGGUGUUGGGUUAAGUCCCGCAACGAGCGCAACCCCGCCGUUAGUUGCAGCGGUUCGGCCGGGCACUCUAACGGGACUGCCCGCGAAAGCGGGAGGAAGGAGGGGACGACGUCUGGUCAGCAUGGCCCUUACGGCCUGGGCGACACACGUGCUACAAUGCCCACUACAAAGCGAUGCCACCCGGCAACGAGGAGCUAAUCGCAAAAAGGUGGGCCCAGUUCGGAUUGGGGUCUGCAACCCGACCCCCAUGAAGCCGGAAUCGCUAGUAAUCGCGGAUCAGCCAUGCCGCGGUGAAUACGUUCCCGGGCCUU